rnacentral:misc_RNA from 1 species
GUGAAUGCCUUUGUGCCAAUAAACUAUAUCCACCUUACACCUGUGAACUGUUGAUUGACCUCGGUUGAUUAAUUUUACAAACAUUGUGUAAUGAACGUCAUGUUAUAAAACAAAA